UACGUAGGGGGCAAGCGUUGUCCGGAAUCAUUGGGCGUAAAGCGCGUGUAGGCGGCCCGGUAAGUCCGCUGUGAAAGUCCAGGGCUCAACCCUGGGAUGCCGGUGGAUACUGUCGGGCUCGAGUCCGGAAGAGGCGAGUGGAAUUCCUGGUGUAGCGGUGAAACGCGCAGAUAUCAGGAGGAACACCAAUGGCGAAGGCAGCUCGCUGGGACGUGACUGACGCUGAGACGCGAAAGCGUGGGGAGCAAACAGG
rnacentral:rRNA from 1 species